CUAUAAAAAAGACACCACCUGCUCACUUUAUAACUCACCACCAUCAUAUUACGGAAGCCAUACGCUACCGGAUUGCUGAUCUUAACUGUUCCGGUGACGAUGUCCGAUCAAAGCCCUAAAUCAAUUUUCCCGGUGAUCAUCUUCUCAAGGAGAUGGGGAGCAUUAAGCGAAUGUCUGAGGCUAUUUGGAGUUCAAUUCAGUCAGGGGUAAUCUUGUAAGAUUUCGCACAGUUUCGAUGCUGGUGUCCCCAAGGUGUAAUUUACCCUUUCAAAGUUUCAAUAUUCUUUAUCGCACACUCAAUUGGACAGACUUUCGUAAACACCCUCACUGUGCUUCUGACAUGGACCAGCAAAGUAGAUCUCAGAUAUAUCCAUUGUUUUUGUUGAACCUAAACUGCCCAAGAUCUUUAGAUGAUUUGACUUUGGAGCCUUCAAAGACCUUUGUGGAAUUUAAGGUUGCGGCCCGUCCUUCUCUUUAUUGAGGAUACUAUCGCAAAUCUCUGUACUGGAAAUAACUCUAUUGGCUGUAGCCACCCACCUGCCUCCCUAAAAGAGGGGGGGAGGGAGAGGGAAACAAAUUGUGGAAGUGGAAGAGAGAGUUACUUAUGCAUCAGAUGGUGCAAAGCAUUUCACUGCAUGCUGCUGAUGAGUGAAUUCAUUCGGAAGAACUACAUGAGAAGGUCAUGCCUGAAAUUGUUUACCACUAACUGGGGUUGGAUCUUCAACAAUCAUUCUCAAGCUUAUUUACCAGGCUUACUAAUUACAGAUAUAGGAGAGUAGAGUAUCAGGAAGAUCCUCAACCCUAAAAGAAAAAAUUACAAGACCACCAAACAUUCAUAUCUUAUUCUCUUCAACAUUCAUAUUCCUCCCUCUAAAGGAUAUAUGCCCGUCUGAAUGUGGAAAACAAAACAUGACAAGAACUUCUUUGCAGGCUAUUUAUUCCAUUAUGAGGUGAGGAAAUAUAUGUGUUGGAACUGCAUUUGAUGAUUGCUAAGUUAGGUUCGUGGAGUAGGAGUUCCUCCGAGGCAUGGUGUGGAUUACAUCGGCAUGAAAUCAACCUAGAACAUGCAGCAAAGCGACUAAGAUCAGCCAUAUCCUAGUGUCUAAAAGCUCUGCUACAUCAAAAUAGAACCAUUCAGAUUAUAUGUACGCUUCCCCAGCAAGCUUUGGCUUUGAAGAAGAUGCUCUGAGCUUUAUUUCUGACGUUUCCUUGUUGGAAAUUGUUACUAAAACUCACGGGAGGCCAAAUGGAUAUCGUAAGGUUUUGAAGACAAAAUGUUGGUACAACAGUCAUUGUUCGUGAUGUAUUUUACAACCAACCAGUUCGAAGGAAGCAAAUACACUCCCAACCCAAAGAGGGUCUUGCAUUCUCUGAAAGAGUCUCUGCUAAGAAUACUCCUUGUGCAUCCCAGUGGCUCCUUCAAAAUUGUUGAUUUUGAAAGUGUGGAUUACCAGCUUUGAACAUGUGCUUCUCCUUCUCUAUUGCCUCUAUUGUCUAGUGGGUUUGGGAUUCAUCCUUAACAAUUUGAAUGGAAGCGAUGGUUCAUUGAAGCUCUCAGGAUACAUCUCAGGUCCUGAUGUUUACACAGGCCCAAAUUGAUGGGUAUACAGGUCCUCAUGUUUACACAGUGGAGGUAUACAAGCCCAAAUUGAUGGUUUCCAGCAGGUAUAUGAGCAAUAGGAAGUGGGACCUGCUAUGUUAAGGUGGAUGACUAUGUUGGUGUAAACUGGAAAUUGAGAAGCUCUGUGCAGCCCUUUCAUCCAAUGCCAGAAACUAGAGCUGUAUGGAGACUGCAGCAUUCUGCAAAAGCUAUUUGCUCAGAGCUUCCACAGCAGUCGUCCCAUCAGUGUGAUCAAUCUUCCACCCAAGUUGUGGUGACAGUGUAUUCUCUGAUGAAAGGUCAAGUGUGAAAAUGUAACUUGUUAACAUCUGGAAUAGCAAGUUACAAACUCUAGGGGAGUGCACAAGUCCACAUGAUGGGGAGUCAAAACAAGGUAAACCAUUUCUGCCAUUUGUUCCUGACGUGAAUAAGAGCUGAAUUUUUCUACUGUGUGUUUCAGUUAAUUAGCUUCAUCUCUCUCACGCACUUUUCAAGAUUAUCUUAGAAUGCAUUCUUAUUAAUCCUGAAAGCAUUAGAGAUUACAAUGUCUCUUUGUAAGUCUCCUUGACCACAUAGUCUCUUUCAAAUUCCAUCUUCUAUUAUACUAGAAAGAUCUAGUUUCAACAUGUAUGCUUAUUGUCCAUUUAAUUUCAUUUUAGGGUAUUUUAGUCUUAUCACUCAAGCUCUCCACGUGUUAUGUUGCUGCUAUAUUCAAUAUGAGGCCUCCUAGCACGUCAGCUGUUUCCUCUACUUCUGUUUUCAAUUUUCAGUAGACCACCAUAACUACAUCAUUAUCUCUAUCUUCUCCAUCACUUCUUGUCUUUUUGCUAAAGGAAAAAGACAAGAAGUGUAUCUCUUUGUCAAUGGAUUAUGACAUAUUUAUUUUUCACAUUCUUGUUCUUCAGACCUUCCGUCUCCUGUUCGUUUUCAAAAGAAGUGUAGAGAUCUGGGUUUAGAAUUCUUCCGGAUUUUUUCCGUGUUUGUUAAUUUCAUUUUAGAUUGUUGUGGGUUUAGCUUGAUAGUGGUACAGAUUUGGGGUUUAGGCCUAAUUAGAAGGAAGAAACAUUUGAGUAUAAUGUUACGGUGCUUAAUAAAGUUUGAUUAUUUUUUCGAUUUCCUUUGUUAUUGGUUGUUGUGGGUCAAUUAAUUUCAAGCUAAGGGUAUAUUGGAUAGCAUGCAUCCAGCCCUUUCUAUCGUCAUCUUUCAUGGCCUUUUCUAUUGCUGUACUUUUCUCCGCUAAAUAAUUUCUUUUCUUUGCUCGAUUGAAUUUUCGUUAAUUUCUCUUGACUUUCCUGUUUCUACAGGCAUCUUCUUGCCCAAAAGGUAAGCUUUUUCUUCUAUAUAUAUGUAUUUGCGUCUCUUUGUAUGUGUUUCAGUUUUGGAUUUUUUUUCCUCUUUUGUUUUCCAUGUGUUAAAUGCUUGACCUGUUGUAUUUCUGCAUUUAUUUUUUGCUUGGAGCUGUCUUGGAGAGUUGUUGAGAUUGUGGAGAGUGAAAAUCACUUGUAGGGAAUUUUCUCCAAAUUUGAGAGCCAGCUGGGGACUUGAUGGCCAUGAAAAAAGUCUUACUGUAUAUGUAUUAAAGCUGAAGCAAUUAACUCUUGAUUAUAAACAAAAACAAUUUGGAUAAAUCUUGAGGUGUCGUAGUUAUGGAAAAUUACUUUGGAGUUGUCAAGGACGAUGAUCAACAUCAUCAGAUGGAACUGCCAGCUGGAUUUCGAUAUCAAUUUCUUUGCUAUUGUUGUUGGUGCUGUAGAUUUGAACAAAAUUUAACCUUGGGACCUCCAAUGUUGAGCCUUUUCAUUUAUUUGUUGGAAAUUGUUACUAAAACUCACUGGAGGCCAAAUGAAUAUCGUAAGGUUUUGAAGGACGGCAAGUGUUUGUACCUUGGAUUGAUGAUUGUAGACAAGAGUGAGUAUGACCUACUUUGCACACGUGCUUCUCCUUCCCCAUUGCCGCUAUUGUCCAGUGGGUUUGGGAUUCAUCUGAGUUCCCUUAAUAAUUUGAAUGCAAUCGAUGGUUCAUUCAAGCUCACCAGAUACAUCUUAGGUUGUGAUGUUUACACAGUGAAGGUCCUUCAAUAGAUCUAUCUUUAUAUGAUUUGACUUUGGAGCCUUCAAAGACCUAUAUGGAAUAUAAGGUUUCGUGUAUUUUGGGGGUUAAUCUAACUGAUGUGGAUCUGAUAGAAUUUUUUUAACAGCCCUCUCAUUUCUCUUUUGAUUAUACAUCAACAAGAACCGGAGGAGAUGAAGCCGAAGGCUGCCAAUGGAAUUCUGGAAGAUUGUGCUUUUAUACGCUUUUUUUUCCUUUAUACGUUAUCUUUAGACAAACUACUGUUAUUCACUUCUUAUAUUAGUUUUUCAUUUCAAUUUCCCCUUACAGCAACAACAAAGAUGAAGACAAAUGUAUAGUUGCUUAUACUUCAAGCCACACUAUUUGAUCAUUGCUAUGUGGAAUUCAUUCAGCGCCAAGUUUUAAGAUUUGCUUGUUGCAUGAAUUGCCUAAUUCACUGCCGAUUUCAGAAUUGAAUAUAUGGGUUUAUGAAGCCAAUAUAAAGGCUCAUAUUCUCAUUAAGAAGAAUGAAGAAAGUGGGAGGUUUUUUAGCCACCCAAAGUUAGAAAUUUUCUUAAUUUGGCUAGGAUUUUGAACUCUUGUCCUCAGUCUAAAAGUUGUGAAAAAUUCUAGCUUUCAAUUUAUAUUUUUCUUCGAGGAAAAUAGGUGAUUGAAGUCGAAAUUUAGGCUAAAAACGGAGUUCUUAUAACGUCGAACCCACGAAGGUUCAAGUCUAAAUUUUCAGUUUUUCUUUUUGUGGA